rnacentral:rRNA from 1 species
AUUGAACGCUGGCGGCAGGCUUAACACAUGCAAGUCGAACGAUGACUAACUAGCUUGCUAGUUAUGAUUAGUGGCGGACGGGUGAGUAACAUUUAGGAAUCUGCCUAGUAGUGGGGGAUAGCUCGGGGAAACUCGAAUUAAUACCGCAUACGACCUACGGGUGAAAGGGGGCGCAAGCUCUUGCUAUUAGAUGAGCCUAAAUCAGAUUAGCUAGUUGGUGGGGUAAAGGCCUACCAAGGCGACGAUCUGUAACUGGUCUGAGAGGAUGAUCAGUCACACCGGAACUGAGACACGGUCCGGACUCCUACGGGAGGCAGCAGUGGGGAAUAUUGGACAAUGGGGGCAACCCUGAUCCAGCCAUGCCGCGUGUGUGAAGAAGGCCUUUUGGUUGUAAAGCACUUUAAGCAGGGAGGAGGGGCUAAUGGUUAAUACCCAUUAGAUUAGACGUUACCUGCAGAAUAAGCACCGGCUAACUCUGUGCCAGCAGCCGCGGUAAUACAGAGGGUGCGAGCGUUAAUCGGAAUUACUGGGCGUAAAGCGAGUGUAGGUGGCUCAUUAAGUCACAUGUGAAAUCCCCGGGCUUAACCUGGGAACUGCAUGUGAUACUGGUGGUGCUAGAAUAUGUGAGAGGGAAGUAGAAUUCCAGGUGUAGCGGUGAAAUGCGUAGAGAUCUGGAGGAAUACCGAUGGCGAAGGCAGCUUCCUGGCAUAAUAUUGACACUGAGAUUCGAAAGCGUGGGUAGCAAACAGGAUUAGAUACCCUGGUAGUCCACGCCGUAAACGAUGUCUACUAGCCGUUGGGGUCCUUGAGACUUUAGUGGCGCAGUUAACGCGAUAAGUAGACCGCCUGGGGAGUACGGCCGCAAGGUUAAAACUCAAAUGAAUUGACGGGGGCCCGCACAAGCGGUGGAGCAUGUGGUUUAAUUCGAUGCAACGCGAAGAACCUUACCUGGUCUUGACAUAGUGAGAAUCCUGCAGAGAUGCGGGAGUGCCUUCGGGAAUUCACAUACAGGUGCUGCAUGGCUGUCGUCAGCUCGUGUCGUGAGAUGUUGGGUUAAGUCCCGCAACGAGCGCAACCCUUUUCCUUAUUUGCCAGCGGGUUAAGCCGGGAACUUUAAGGAUACUGCCAGUGACAAACUGGAGGAAGGCGGGGACGACGUCAAGUCAUCAUGGCCCUUACGACCAGGGCUACACACGUGCUACAAUGGUAGGUACAGAGGGUUGCUACACGGCGAUGUGAUGCUAAUCUCAAAAAGCCUAUCGUAGUCCGGAUUGGAGUCUGCAACUCGACUCCAUGAAGUCGGAAUCGCUAGUAAUCGCAGAUCAGAAUGCUGCGGUGAAUACGUUCCCGGGCCU